GUUCCCUGAUUGCAUUUGGAUAACAGACGUUCUUCUAUCGCACUGCAACUCAGGACUCUUGUAGAAGUUGAACUUUACCAGUUUGAAGGUGUACAACUGUGCAAGUAUUGAACAUCAGCUUCAAAUGCAAUGUGAUCUAAAAGACAACAUAAUAAUGGACAGAUGUUCUCUGGUCGUUAGUACUUGUUUGCCACACACAUGAAGAUAUUGAUCCUGCUUUCAGCUAAAUAUCAGAAAAAUUAGGAACAAAGGAAAGGAUGCUGAAACUGUACAGUCACCGGUCAGGAUUGUUUCAGAAGUGAAAUUAUAAUACAAUAUAUGUUACUGGUUAAUUCCUAUGAUUUGUAAUUUUAAACAACACACAUAGACUUUGCAUUAUUGUUUUACAAGAGAGACACCAAAAGAUGCAGUCAACAUUUAUUAUUUUUAUCAAAAUACACCCAGGACAAAUCAUGGGUACACUUAGCUUGAAAUAUGGUGCUUUCAUACCAAAAUUGCCUGGACGUAAAAGAAAUAAAGAACCAAAAUUCAUGUCAGCAAUCAUGCAGGGGAUAAGAUGAAAGAAUAAAGAAUAAGGCAGGAGUGAAAGGAAGAGAAAAAGUCAUCAGUAAAGAAACAGAUCAAUUUACAUUAACAUGUAAUAAUUCCAUCUGAAU